UACGUAGGGUGCAAGCGUUAAUCGGAAUUACUGGGCGUAAAGCGUGCGUAGGCGGUUCGUUAAGUUCGUUGUGAAAGCCCCGGGCUCAACCUGGGAACUGCAUUUGUGACUGCAUCGCUGGAGUGCGGCAGAGGGGGAUGGAAUUCCGCGUGUAGCAGUGAGAUGCGUAGAUAUGCGGAGGAACACCGAUGGCGAAGGCAAUCCCCUGGGCCUGCACUGACGCUCAUGCACGAAAGCGUGGGGAGCAAACAGG
rnacentral:rRNA from 1 species